UACGUAGGGGGCGAGCGUUGUCCGGAUUUAUUGGGCGUAAAGAGCUCGUAGGCGGUUUGGCAAGUCGGGUGUGAAAACUCCGGGCUCAACUCGGAGACGCCACUCGAUACUGCCAUGACUCGAGUCCGGUAGGGGAGUGCGGAAUUCCUGGUGUAGCGGUGAAAUGCGCAGAUAUCAGGAGGAACACCGGUGGCGAAGGCGGCGUCCUGGACCAACACUGACACUGAGGAGCGAAAGCCAGGGGAGCAAACGGG
rnacentral:rRNA from 1 species